rnacentral:rRNA from 1 species
AACGAACGCUGGCGGCAGGCUUAACACAUGCAAGUCGAACGCCCCGCAAGGGGAGUGGCAGACGGGUGAGUAACGCGUGGGAACGUGCCCUUCGCUUCGGAAUAGCCCCGGGAAACUGGGAGUAAUACCGAAUACGCCGUAUUGGGAAAGAUUUAUCGGCGAAGGAUCGGCCCGCGUUAGAUUAGCUAGUUGGCGGUGUAAUGGACCACCAAGGCUACGAUCUAUAGCUGGUCUGAGAGGAUGAUCAGCCACACUGGGACUGAGACACGGCCCAGACUCCUACGGGAGGCAGCAGUGGGGAAUCUUGGACAAUGGGCGCAAGCCUGAUCCAGCCAUGCCGCGUGAGUGAAGAAGGCCUUAGGGUUGUAAAACUCUUUCGCCGGAGAAGAUAAUGACGGUAUCCGGAGAAGAAGCCCCGGCUAACUUCGUGCCAGCAGCCGCAGUAA